rnacentral:rRNA from 1 species
GAAUUGCGAUAAGUAAUGUGAAUUGCAGAUUUCCAGUGAAUCAUCGAAUUUUUGAACGCACCUUGCGCUCCUUGGUAUUCCGAGGAGCAUGCCUGUUUGAGUGUCAUUUGAAUCAAUCAACCAUGCUUGGGCAUGGCUUGGAGUUGGGGGUUGCUGGCGUUCACCGUCAGCUCUCCUUAAAUGCAUUAGCGAUCGAGUCGGGCUAGUCUUUUGACGUGCACGGCCUUGGACGUGAUAAUGAUCGUCCUGGCUGGAGCGUUAGGUUGGCAUGACAUAGAUCGCUUCGAUGGGGGGGAGAAGGCAAAAGCAAAGUGAUCGGUCUGUGGAGCUUAGCUACUAGGCAGUCUUGAGGAGAGGCUGGUGAAAACGAGCGAGACGGAUCGAGAUCAGGGCUUAAGCUUUCUUUCUUUCUUCUUGGACUCUUGACCUCAAAUCAGGUAGGACUACCCGCUGAACUUAA